rnacentral:rRNA from 1 species
GCUCAUCACAUCCUGGGGCUGAAGUCGGUCCCAAGGGUAUGGCUGUUCGCCAUUUAAAGUGGUACGCGAGCUGGGUUUAGAACGUCGUGAGACAGUUCGGUCCCUAUCUGCCGUGGGCGUUGGAAGAUUGAAGGGGGCUGCUCCUAGUACGAGAGGACCGGAGUGGACGAACCUCUGGUGUUCGGGUUGUGUCGCCAGACGCAUUGCCCGGUAGCUAAGUUCGGAAUUGAUAAGCGCUGAAAGCAUCUAAGCGCGAAGCGAGCCCUGAGAUGAGUCUUCCCUGACAGUUUAACUGUCCUAAAGGGUUGUUCGAGACUAGAACGUUGAUAGGCAGGGUGUGUAAGCGUUGUGAGGCGUUGAGCUAACCUGUACUAAUUGCCCGUGAGGCUUAACCAUACAACACCCAAGGGGUUUUGUA